GGAUGCGAUCAUACCAGCACUAAAGCACCGGAUCCCAUCAGAACUCCGAAGUUAAGCGUGCUUGGGCGAGAGUAGUACUAGGGUGGGUGACCUCCUGGGAAGUCCUCGUGUUGCAUGCC
rnacentral:rRNA from 1 species